GAUGAACGCUGGCGGCGUGCCUAAUACAUGCAAGUCGAGCGAACGGACGAGAAGCUUGCUUCUCUGAUGUUAGCGGCGGACGGGUGAGUAACACGUGGAUAACCUACCUAUAAGACUGGGAUAACUUCGGGAAACCGGAGCUAAUACCGGAUAAUAUUUUGAACCGCAUGGUUCAAAAGUGAAAGACGGUCUUGCUGUCACUUAUAGAUGGAUCCGCGCUGCAUUAGCUAGUUGGUAAGGUAACGGCUUACCAAGGCAACGAUGCAUAGCCGACCUGAGAGGGUGAUCGGCCACCCUGGAACUGAGACACGGUCCAGACUCCUACGGGAGGCAGCAGUAGGGAAUCUUCCGCAAUGGGCGAAAGCCUGACGGAGCAACGCCGCGUGAGUGAUGUAGGUCUUCGGAUCGUAAAACUCUGUUAUUAGGGAAGAACAUAUGUGUAAGUAACUGUGCACAUCUUGACGGUACCUAAUCAGAAAGCCACGGCUAACUACGUG
rnacentral:rRNA from 1 species